rnacentral:rRNA from 1 species
UACAGAGGUCUCAAGCGUUGUUCGGAUUCAUUGGGCGUAAAGGGUGCGUAGGUGGCGCCGUAAGUCAGGUGUGAAAUUUCGGAGCUUAACUCCGAAACUGCAUUUGAUACUGCGGUGCUUGAGGACUGGAGAGGAGACUGGAAUUUACGGUGUAGCAGUGAAAUGCGUAGAGAUCGUAAGGAAGACCAGUGGCGAAGGCGGGUCUCUGGACGAGUUCCU